rnacentral:rRNA from 1 species
AUACAGAGGGCCCGAGCGUUAAUCGGAAUCACUGGGCUUAAAGAGUUCGUAGGCGGUCUUGUAAGUAUCUUGUGAAAUCCCACGGCUCAACCGUGGAAUUGCUUGGUAAACUGCAAGACUUGAGUAUGGUAGAGGCUGUCGGAACUCUAGGUGGAGCGGUGAAAUGCGUAGAUAUCUAGAGGAACACCAAAGGCGAAGGCAGACAGCUGGGCCAUUACUGACGCUGAGGAACGAAAGCGUGGGUAGCGAACGGGAUUAGAUACCCUAGUAGUCC